AUUGAACGCUGGCGGCAUGCCUUACACAUGCAAGUCGGACGAGUGGCGAACGGGUGAGUAAUGCAUCGGAACCUGCCGAGUAAUGGGGGAUAACUGUUCGAAAGGGUAGCUAAUACCGCAUACUAUUCGAGCGGCCGAUGUCUGAUUAGCUGGUUGGUGGGGUAAAGGCUCACCAAGGCGACGAUCCCUAGCUGGUCUGAGAGGAUGACCAGCCACACUGGAACUGAGACACGGUCCAGACUCCUACGGGAGGCAGCAGUGGGGAAUAGUGCACAAUGGGCGCAAGCCUGAUGCAGCCAUGCCGAGUGUGUGAAGAAGGCCUUCGGGUUGUAAAGCACUUUCAGCGGGGAGGCGUUACCCGCAGAAGAAGCACCGGCUAACUCCGUGCCAGCAGCCGCGGUAAUAC
rnacentral:rRNA from 1 species